CCUCUUGUGGUUUAGUGGUAGAGCAAUGAUGCGGACAGUCAUAGGACCCGGGUUCGAUUCCCGGCGAGGGCU
rnacentral:tRNA from 1 species